GUUUUAUCCCAUGAAACUCAUGGAACUACCAGCGGCCCCGCACGGGGAGCAGUUCGAUGGGCCAACACACCUACGGAUGUUGUUCCAGUCUGUAGCUCUGUG
rnacentral:sRNA from 14 species